rnacentral:rRNA from 1 species
GCAUAUCAAUAAGCGGAGGAAAAGAAACCCAACAGGGAUUACCUCAGUAACGGCGAAGUGAAGCGGUAACAGCUCAAAUUUGAAAGCUAGCUCUUUUAGGGUUCGCAUUGUAAUUUGUAGAAGAUGCUUCGAGUGUGGCCCCGGUCUAAGUUCCUUGGAACAGGACGUCAUAGAGGGUGAGAAUCCCGUAUGUGACUGGGUGCUUUCGCUCAUGUGAAGCUCUUUCGACGAGUCGAGUUGUUUGGGAAUGCAGCUCAAAAUGGGUGGUAAAUUUCAUCUAAAGCUAAAUAUUGGCCAGAGACCGAUAGCGCACAAGUAGAGUGAUCGAAAGAUGAAAAGCACUUUGGAAAGAGAGUUAAACAGUACGUGAAAUUGUUGAAAGGGAAGCGCUUGCAACCAGACUUGCGCGCUGAUGAUCAUCCGGGCUUCUGCCCGGUGCACUCGUCUGCGCUCAGGCCAGCAUCGGUUUCGGUGGUGGGAUAAAGGCCUUGGGAAUGUGGCUCCUCUCGGGGAGUGUUAUAGCCCUCGGUGCAAUGCCGCCUACCGGGACCGAGGACCGCGCUUCGGCUAGGAUGCUGGCGUAAUGGUUGUAAGCGACCCGUCUUGAAACACGGACCAAGGAGUCUAACAUCUAUGCGAGUGUUUGGGUGUCAAACCCAUACGCGUAAUGAAAGUGAACGGAGGUGAGAACCCUUAAGGGUGCAUCAUCGACCGAUCCUGAUGUCUUCGGAUGGAUUUGAGUAAGAGCAUAGCUGUUGGGACCCGAAAGAUGGUGAACUAUGCGUGAAUAGGGUGAAGCCAGAGGAAACUCUGGUGGAGGCUCGCAGCGGUUCUGACGUGCAAAUCGAUCGUCAAAUUUGCGUAUAGGGGCGAAAGACUAAUCGAACCAUCUAGUAGCUGGUUCCUGCCGA